CCGGGGAAACUCACCAGGCCAGGACACUAAAAGGAUUGACAGAUUGAUAGCUUUUUAUCGAUAUGGUGGUUGGUGGUGCAUGGCCGUUCUUAGUUGGUGGAGUGAUUUGUCUGGUAAAUUCCGAUAACGAACAAGACUUUAACCAAUUUAGUAGGAUAAACUUUAAUAGAUAAUAGGCCGUAAGGUUUAUUGUCGUUCGAGUUUAAACUUCUUAGAGGAACUAGCUAUAGGUAAUAGCAGGAGGAAAAGCAAUAA
rnacentral:rRNA from 1 species